rnacentral:lncRNA from 1 species
CUGGGGUUGCUUUUCUGGCGUGUGUCUGCUUAAUAUUCCGUCUUUUGCAGUAGUGAGGCUGUUCUGUCAUGCUAGGGCAGUGUAGGAGUCGUAUAUUUGUUUUUUGUUUUUUUCUUUUUUUUGGUGCCGGACCUUGGGCUUGCAAAGCAGGCGGCGGAACCAGAACCUUGGGGUCAGGGGAGGCUCCUCUGCUCGUCAGCCACCUCACUCCUGACUUAACAAACGGUUGCAACCGGCCACAAAAACUUACCUCUGGAGGUUUUCUGAGGUCUGUGCCUGAGAGUCUCCUGCUGGAUCCUGCUACAGAGUCUCGGCUGAACCGGGGUUCCUGCCUGGGGAUCCUGCUGGGGCAUCCAAAAUGUAAGACCGAGGGCCUUGCCAAACGGUCCGAGGAGCUGACUGCAGCGAAGAACACCCGGGAAGGAACACACCGGACAAGUUGGAAAGUAAAACAGACCUUUAUUAGUCUGGCCAGACAGCACUCGCAAAGCAAAGUAGCUUAGAGAAGCAACUGGCUCAGAGUCCGAGGCUGUUCUUAUAGGGGGUUGAGGGGGAAGUUAACAUAUAGAUUUAUGAGAAAAGGGACAAAGGUUAGUGGUCGACUGUCAUGUACUGAUGGUCAGCAGAUAUUUGCAGAUUGUUCUAUAGACUGUGGUGUCCGGAGCAUCAGUUCCGGGCAAACAAGGAGUUGAGUAGUUUACUUUGGGACUUUAGGUCUGUUACAGAUUUUAUCUAGUGUCCCAAAACUAACAAGCAUCUUUAUCCAUUAACUCACAUUCAAUCACAGUUGGGGCUAGGAGGUUUUAUGAUUACAGAGUUAUGCAGUCCCACAGUAAUGCGGAGAGCUGCACCAUGUGCUUUUUCAGUCAUCUUAUGGAGGCUUACACAGGUAUUAUUUUCUUUUUUUUUUCUGGUACUGGGGAUCGAAUUCGACCCUGU